ACCUUGGCCAUGACCACCAAGAAAAUACUUUGCCGCUUUUGCGAUGUUUCUUACCUUGGUCUGUGCACAGAGUUACCUGGUCACCGGGGUAUGUAAGAAUCCUUUCCCCAAGCUGCCAGCCUGUUUCUUCCUGCAUUGCUGAGAGUCCAGCUUUAUUCAUCACACCAGUUUGCUGAGACUAUUGGCUUCCAAUUCCAUCCAUGUCCCUGCAAAGGAUAUGACCUCAUUCCUUUUUAUGGCUGCAUAGUUUUUCAUGGAUUCACAAAACUUCAAGGUAGCAUCCAAUCGGGGAAAGAGAGGCCUCAGCUGAAAAUCCGGCACUUGAUUCUCAUUGGCUACUACUUGG